GGGCGCUUGGUCUAGGGGUAUGAUUUUCGCUUCGCAUUUCCGCACUCAGCGGCUUGCGCCUUUGUGAAAGGUCGUGGGUUCAAUUCCCACAGUGUCCA
rnacentral:tRNA from 1 species